CCUACGGGUGGCAGCAGUGAGGAAUAUUGGUCAAUGGGCGCGAGCCUGAACCAGCCAAGUAGCGUGAGGGAAGACUGUACAGCGGGUUGUAAACUUCUUUUAUAAAGGAAUAAAGUGAGGCACGAGUGCCUUGUUGUGUGUACUUGAUGAAUAAGGAUCGGCUAACUCCGUGCCAGCAGCCGCGGUAAUACGGAGGAUCCGAGCGUUAUCCGGAUUUAUUGGGUUUAAAGGGAGCGUAGGUGGGUUGUUAAGUCAGUUGUGAAAGUUUGGGGCUCAACCGUAAGAUUGCAAUUGAUACUGGCAGUCUUGAGUACAGUUGAGGUAGGCGGAAUUCGUGGUGUAGCGGUGAAAUGCUUAGAUAUCACGAAGAACUCCGAUUGCGAAGGCAGCUUACCA
rnacentral:rRNA from 1 species